CUCUCUCCCACAGCAAACACACCGAGCAACAGUCAGCCGUGCUUCUCUCUGCCCCGGGCGGCCGGAGACGCCACGUCAAGUCAGCCGGAAGCAUGGCGAUGGAUUUCCGGUAUGAAAAACUCUUGACUGAGAGGGAAGCAGACAGUCCUGGGUCGUGGAUAUAACCUCCCGGCAAAGGGCGACGCACGUGCAGCCAGAUGGCGAUCAGAGACAUGACUGCGGUAAUUGAAAUGCGACGGGUGUGUGCCGACAUGCUUUGUCACCGGCUCUGGCUCUGCUCCAGCGUGUCCUGCGGGGCGACAGGAGGGUGUAGUCCUGAUCAGCAGCUGGCCUCGUGCUGUCUGACCUCUGACCUCCACGAUCCUCCCCCCUUCUCUCUCUCUCUGCUACACCCACGCUCUGACUGCUUUCUUUCUUUCUUUUUUUAAACUCCAGUACAAAUCCUUUCAUUAUGAACAGUUUAGGUCGCUCACAGAUGUCUCGUUUUUUUUUUGUUUUUUUUUGAUGCGUUCUACAUGAUGAGACCAGGUGGCUGAAGCUGCUUGAGGCAACAGUGACACCCUGUUUAAAACUAUCGUUAUCAUCCCAGAGGAAAAGCAGAAACUACAACUGAUAAAACAACAGCGCUUCUGGCUGGCGGAGGGACACGUCCUCACAAACACUGGAUGGUUUGUCACAUAUCUGAAACGUUAAAACGAUCUGAAACAUUUCUGCUUCCCAGAGGAUGAAUCCUACCGCCUUCAUCGUGUGGUUGACAGUUUUUGAGUGUAAAACCUUGAUAAUAACUUCUGUUAUUAAUGGACUUGAGUGAAUACAUUAAUUUUUGUGUCAUCGGUUGUUGGAGACCUGCAGGAAUGACGCUUCAUACAAAAUCCAUUUAAAUAGAACAGUAAAAACAUUUUAUUUGAGACCCUAAAAACAUUGAACAGUUUCCUUUAAAACAAACACAAACAUAUAAAAGUCGAACAUUUACAUGUGAAAUUCUCAUGUUGUUGAACGCGACCUCAGUUGUUCUCCCGUAGAUCUGACCGAGGAAAGCUCGAUCAGAUCCCCGUGCACUCCCCGGCCCUGCAGAUGGCUGCAGCGCGAGUGUGACGACGUGCAAAAAACAAUAAAUAGCUGGCGGCUGUGAAACCUGAGGCCUGCAGAUCAGCAGAGGUCAGACUGCAGCGUCUCCCACUGUCUGAAGGGCGCAUCGAUCUACGGGAACCCGGCCCCGAAAAUAACCCGCCUGUACUCAUAACGCAGCAGCUUCUGGAUUUAAAACACGAUCGGUCUGCUCUCACAGCAUGCUGAUCGAGUCUGACUUAAAGGGGAAUUCUGGUGUUUUUAAACAAAGCCCUUUUUUUUUUAUCCUUCUUCUUUUUUUUUUUUUUUUUACAUAUCACCUUGAGCAAAUUCUUCUGCAUUACAAUCUCUAAUACAGAAGAGCUUUCAUAUCAGCACAGACAUAUAC